rnacentral:misc_RNA from 1 species
AAGUCGUAACAAGGUCUCCGUUGGUGAACCAGCGGAGGGAUCAUUACCGAGUUUACAACUCCCAAACCCCUGUGAACAUACCUAUCGUUGCUUCGGCGGGAUCGCCCCGGUGCCAUCGCGGCCCGGACCCAGGCGCCCGCCGGAGGACCCAAACUCUUGAAUUUAUGAAGUAUCUUCUGAGUAAACAAGCAAAUAAAUUAAAACUUUCAACAACGGAUCUCUUGGUUCUG